GGCUAGUGCAGAGGGGAGGGAACACGGCGUCUGAGACCUUUGGUCUUUCUCCGUAAACCUCCGCAUCUCAGCCCACAGUCCUGCGCGUGUGAAGCCGAGGAGACCUUGAAACCCCAAACCCGCCUCCCAUCAGCGGGCAGGGGAGUGUGACAGUUUUCAUUUCAUCAAGGUCUUUCUGCCUGUGAGUGUGGUGGCCACAAGGCACAGUCUCGCGAUGCAGGUGUGAUUGGUCCACAUAAAGUCGCCUGAGGAAACAAUCCAGAGCAGGAGGAAGAAGAGGACAGUAUGGCUGCUUCUCAGAUCAACACGGGGAAAACAUUGAUAUCCAAGUGUUCUAUUGAGACGGUGUUUGCAGAAGGGAAAUGUAGGUUUUACAUUUCAUAUGUUUGCAACAUCUGUUCUGCAGAACAGGAUUGAGACAAAGCACCUUUAACCAGGAUGGCCUUAGUGGCUGGGAUUAGAUCAAAAUGUGCUGAAAAAGAACACUUGUUAGAAGAGACUUGCUCUCUACAUUGGCAAGCCCUAUUCUUAAAAUAUACUGAUAGAUUUACAGAAUGUGGAGGUAUAUGUGAAAUGAAUUUUGUAUAAAACUGGUGUUAAUGAUGAUGUGUCCUUCAGUCACCUGAUGUCACUUCCUUUGCACCUGAUUUCCACUUGGUGUGAGUGUUCUCUGCCUAAUUCCUGAACCAUGGAGUUAAUUUUUAAAAAUCUUUAAUAAAGGUUUCAAAAAAAUUUUGAGAGAGAUGCAUAAAA